UACGGAGGAGGCAAGCGUUAUCCGGAAUGAUUGGGCGUAAAGCGUCCGCAGGUGGCUGUGUAAGUCUGCUGUCAAAGAGCGAAGCUCAACUUCGUAAAGGCAGUGGAAACUACACGGCUAGAGUGCGUUCGGGGCAGAGGGAAUUCCUGGUGUAGCGGUGAAAUGCGUAGAGAUCAGGAAGAACACCGGUGGCGAAGGCGCUCUGCUAGGCCGCAACUGACACUGAGGGACGAAAGCUAGGGGAGCGAAUGGG
rnacentral:rRNA from 1 species